CCCUCCCCUAGCACCCCCUCCCUGCCCUUCCUGAGGGCGGCAGCCGGGGCCCCGAGAUAAGAGCUACCGCCGGGCUUUGGCUAGGGUAGUGGCACCGAGAUGGGCAAGAUUUAUGACUUCAUGCACCAAAGCUGUAAACAGAGAACUAAAACAGAAAACACUUGCUCCUUAUGGCAUAUUGCGACGGCCCAACAUGAAAGGAGAAGCCGGGUCGCGUAGGAGGCGAGGCGAGAGGGGGCCGAAAAAUCCGCUGGCCUGCAUUUUCUCUUCAAGCCAUCAGCCCACCCCCAGGUUGGAUGUUUCCCUGGAAGAAAAGAGGCUAGGUCAAUAAUCAACCCCGCACUUUCUCCUCCAAACUGCUGAUGCGACUGGCUCCCCGUUUCCAGCUAAACUAGCUGCAGGGAACGAAAGGAAGGCUGCCAGAAACUUAGGGCAAGAAGAGGAGGACGCUAAGCAGCCGGGGCCGGGGUUAGAGGUGGGAGAGGGCACAGAGAUGUGCUGCUGUCGGAAAAGGGGGCUGGGGGGAUGUCUCGACCUCCUCCGAGUUCUUUGGAAAUAGAGCGGGCCAUGAGAAGACUCUAGAAAGUCCACUCCCGAGACUAAGCUAGGUACUUUUAACCCGGAGAGCUUUAAAAAAAAAAAAAAUCUGCCUGGGAAGGAGGGAAUCUCAAAUAGAUAGCCUGGGAUCGGGGGGCAGCUUUCAGCCUCCCCGGCGCACCUCCGAAGCAGCAGAAUAGGGCUCCGGGGCACACAAAGGUGCUUCCUUCGUUGACUUUUUCUGCUCGGGCCAGUGGUGGGCCAUAGGCGUGGAAGGGGGCGAGGUGAGCUGGCAUCUCGGGAAGAAGGCGGCCAGAGAUGCAAAAAAAGACGCCCCUCCUCGGGUCACUUAAAAAAACGGAUACUUUGAAAGGAUGGAUGGUGGAUUUCUAACAAUCAUUUGGUUCGUUCGUGCUUGGGGGGGGUUUUACGUCGCCAUUGGUUUGGGUUUUAUUUAUUUGGAAACAACAACGACCAAAAUAAAAGCAAUCGCCUUGAAAA